AAACUGUUUGUUCUUCGGAAAUAGGGUCUUGGAUGAUCUCGAAGAAGUAUCGGUAGUUUUCGGAAUAGGUUGUAGGAUGAUUCACUUUUUAUUUUAAUAUUACAUACAUUGGAGUACACGCCAAAUUUCAACAAUGAGUAAAGUUAGAAAAAUUCAAAUUUAAAUCAAGGAUUUCUUCCUCAAAAUAACGUUAAAACCUCAAAAGAUGGAUGAAAAAUGUGCUUUAGGAGCUGAACUAUAAUAAUUGAUACAUUUGGAAGUAAACAAAACGGUUUAAGAUAAGAUUUUUACCAACAAAAAAUCUCUGUCACAAAUUCUAGGUUAUGUUCUCUCGGUGAACUAAGAGAAUGUUAAAAUUAUUACAAUACUUUGCUCAGCAAGAAGCUCAAAGUCAUUCAGAUCCUUUGGAGAGAUAAACAGCGACCCAAAAAUCGAGAAUCUGAUACGAUUAACAGCAGGGCAGUAGCAUAAAACUUGCUCAACCGUCUUCUCGUCCUCCGCACAUAGUCGGUAUUGAACAUCGUCGGCUAGACCCAACAAGUGGAGGGGUGCUUUUAAUCGGUAGUGCCCAGUAAAGACAUCCAUUAGAACUUUAAUGCUGCUACAAGCAAGUCGUAAGAUAUUCCCGGGUUUAGCAGUUCUUUCCAGGAGAACUGGUCCAAGUCCACAAUAGGCAAAAUCAUUCUUUAGCCCACAGAUCAAUCCUAUGUUUGUUUGGCCAUCGCAAAUGAUACAUCACCUGCUGGGUCUGGCCCCACAAACGCUUUAGCGCUGCCCUGGACAUCCGCAUCAACUACAUUCGGUAUAUUUAGAAAUAAAAAUAAAGUUAAAUAAACUAAAACAGUAUUUAUUUUUACAUUUUCAAUAAUUCUAAGAUCGAGACACAAUAAUGAUUUAAAUCAGUUACUAUAAGUACAUUUAACCACUUAACUUCGAGAAUAAUAAUAAUAAGUAAGCCAUUUUUUAUUUAAACUGGUUCUUGAAGGAUUAUAAUAAUAUUAUUAAUAAUGCAUAAACAGUUAGAAACGUCUAUAUAUAAAAAA